rnacentral:rRNA from 1 species
CACGUAGGGUGCGAGCGUUAAUCGGAAUUACUGGGCGUAAAGCGUGCGCAGGCGGUUCGGUAAGACAGGUGUGAAAUCCCCGGGCUCAAACUGGGAAUGGCGCUUGUGACUGGCGGGCUGGAGUACGGCAGAGGGAGGUGGAAUUCCACGUGUAGCAGUGAAAUGCGUAGAGAUGUGGAGGAACACCGAUGGCGAAGGCAGCCUCCUGGGCCAGUACUGACGCUCAUGCACGAAAGCGUGGGGAGCAAACAGG